rnacentral:rRNA from 1 species
GACGGAGGAUGCAAGUGUUAUCCGGAAUGAUUGGGCGUAAAGCGUCCGCAGGUGGCUUUGUAAGUCUGCUGUUAAAGAGUGAGGCUCAACCUCAUAAGAGCAGUGGAAACUACAAGGCUAGAGUACGUUCGGGGCAGAGGGAAUUCCUGGUGUAGCGGUGAAAUGCGCAGAUAUCAGGAAGAACACCCGUGGCGAAAGCGGCUCUCUGGAACGGUACUGACGCUGAGACGCGAAAGCGUGGGGAGCGAACAGG